AGCGAAAAAAGGAAAAGAAAAAGCGAAAAAAAAUUAAAGAUUGUGGGAGAAUGGAUUGUUUUACUGUGCAUUGUCGAUUGUCCUAAAUCUUUUUAUUUUUUCCUUCUUUUAUUUU
rnacentral:ribozyme from 13 species